UUAAUGACUCCCACCAUUCAAGACCCAGAAUCACAGUGAACUUCCUUCCAGCAGAGGUGGGAAAAGUGUGACUUCCUUUAGAGCUAAUCAGGGCCUCAUUGCUUUGCCUGAGAACAGAAUGGAUUACCUUGGGCUACUACAGCUACAAGUACAUUUAACUACCAUCUGUAUAAUUAUUAUGACUCACAUAGUGGCCCUGCUUUGGUGGCAUUCUAGAAUCGCUGAGCCUUGACCCUUGAUAAGAUUUGUCAAAAAGGAUUUGAUUGCACUGCAUGGACUCUAUUGGGCAGAUUGUGAUCUCAUUUCCACUGGUGUGACUCCAGAAGAACUUCUCAAUGCUCAUAAUACCAUUACCACCUCCUCCUCCCCAUCCACGUUUGUUUCAUCCAUCUGUUGUGUCUUGUCAUUUACCAAGAUUGUCAGCUCUUUGGGACAAUGACUGUCUUUUUACUAGAUUUGUACAAUGUCUAGCACAAUGAGGCCCCAAUUCCUGAUUGAGGGCUCUAGGCACUACUGCAAUACAAAUAGGUAAUUAAUAAUUCAUAUAAUGGAAUUACUCUAGAUUUGCUCCUGGUCAAUGAGAUCUGAUCUUAUCACUAAUUGUUCUAUUCAGCUUCAGUUGUUUCUUUGGUACCUUGCACACACAGUGACAUAACAGAUAAUACAUUUAUUUCUUAGAUUGAUGUAGAUUUGCUAGGGGAACACAUAGACCAGUAGUAAUUAAACUUGCAAAUUUUUGGUGUUUUGUGUUUGAUUUAAAUUGGUUGAUGCCACUCUAAAUAUUAUGAAACAUUAGCAUAUUCAUUUGUUCAACAGACCAGAGUUGAAUUUUUUAUAUAAAAUUGUGCAGUAGAAAACUAAUUUGAUACAAUUUCCAAAUGAACUGAAAAAUAAUGUCUCAAUAAGCCAUGCAUUUCAGUCUGUGAAAAAUAUCUUGCACUAAGAACAGCAUGUUCUGGUCCUUGCUGUGCCUCAUACAGUCUGGACAAAGGUCUAAAUGAGUUUGUGAGUAGUGUGAAAAAAAACCACCGAUUGUCUGACUAGCUGUCUGGAGGGCAGAAAAAAAUCUUACUUGUCUAGGUUUGAUUGAAACCUGAGUUAACUGCCAGUACUCACACAAACCAGAAAAACAAGACUAAAGGCCAAGGAGAUAUUAACAGUAGACAUCUUGUACCUCUGCUUUGACAAUGAUUUUCACAGUUCUCAGAUUUAACAGCAGUUCUGACAAAGGCAAAUGAAAUAAUUAAUAACAACUCAGGAUUAAAGAAUCAAAGUCUAAACUCCCAUAAAACUAUCUGAAAGAUUUAUAGUAAUGAUGCAUAGAGAUAUGGCAGUUCACUUAGCUAUGAAAUUUUAAGUUGAGUAGAUGUCGGUACAUUAAAAUCCAAUUAAUUUCAUCUCUUUGUACAAUGGUAAGAUCCUUAGUCAUCUAUUUAUUUCACUAACACUGGAGCAUUUUAAAUGUGGCCCAGUCCCAUUGUUAUCUGGGAUUAUGGAGCUACCAUAGUGAUUCUAUAGUUAAAGUUGUAAGGAGGGGGACUGAAUCAUUUAAUUAAUGUAGCCUCUUCCUACUUGCAAGCAGAUCAUGAUUUCCUCCAAUUUAUUUAUUAUUUGAAUUUACUCAAGGAACAUGUGUAUGUAUGUGUGGGGUGGUGGGGGAGGGUUCAUUUCCUUACUCUAUGGACUGAUCACAAACAAUUCAGUAGGACUGUUGUCUACUCCAAAUGAGCUAUGUUGGUAAGUUGUGAUUGGUCACAUAAGUCACAUGGUAUUGGGUUUGUGCCCUGAUUGGAUAAGGAGUGCAGCUUUUUAAACUCAGAAUGAGGGCUUGGAUUCUUUCAGAAAGAGGGAGUAAAAAGUUAUUUUAUUUUAAUUUUUUCACCAAUGAUAUUAAAACAUUUUCCUUUGUGGGACACGCAGGCAUUGCUCAAGACCAAUUAGUCCCAGAAAAAUUAGGUUGUUGUAAGAUUUAUUAACUUGGGAGCAGAGUUUAAAUGUUAUGUUCCUUUGACACAGUUACACAAAAGCAAUUAUGUGUGGGUAAGAAGUCCUAGUUAUGUAGGGUAGGGUCUCAAAAUCUUGUCUAUCUUAUAUAAUUGCCAUUUUGCAAGAACUUUGUGUAGUGCUCUACAAUGCAUUACAAGUGGUUUAAUUGCCAAAUCUGCUCUUUCACUUUCCAAGUUGGAAGGCACAGAGUGAUUCAGAAAUAUCAUAUUUAACAGCUGGAAAAUGCUCAACAGUCACCCCUCCUGCUGAUUAAAAAAAAGAUGAUAGCAAUAGCACAGAGAUUUAAGAGUGAGGCAGUUCAAGGGAGGAAAAGGCUAGUAGCUCUUGGCAUUGUCAUUUUUUGCUUGUGCAUAGAGUUUAAUCAGAUAUUAACUCUUGGUAAAGAUACCUUAUAUGAUAAAUACAAUGCUCAGGAUUAAAGACAGCGAAAGCAACAAAGAAUGAGAACAAGUCCAAGUGCCCCUACAGCAUGGGGCACAAAUACUAGGAACUCCUAAACUUCAGCUGCUGUUAAUGAGGCUCACGACACAUUCAGAUCUCUUCCACAGCUUCCAUCUGAUUUCUGUCAUUAAAAGGCAGGAUCUAUAUGGACAUCAGUACUGACUGCAGUGGUGAGCCUUUAGAAAAGAAGGAAAAGAAAAGGUUUGAUCCUUGUAGUCAUUGUAAAUGAAAGGUAAUUUAGUGCAAUCAGGAAAUGCUGAAGGAAGCAGCAAGAAGUCCUCAAACUACAAUGAGCAGGCUAAUAAGAGUCAGUUGAAAGGCCAUUUUAGCCCGUAAGGAUUCUUCUGAGGACAUCAUGCUGGUACUUUGUCUUCUUUAGGGCACAACUGGUUGUGUCUGCUGAGGAAAGUGGCCACAGUUGUAUGGUUAUCUAAAAAAAAAGGGGGGGGGGAAUCAUGUACAGCUUUACAAAUUUAGUCUCUUACUAAGUGUUAAAGUCUUUUAAACAUUAGGGGCCUGCUUCUCCUCUCAUACUAGUUCAUUGUGAUGGUUACUUUUAAUAUACAGUGCUGAGAGAGGUGAAUCACACCUGGGAACUUAUAACUACAAACACUGAUCCAUAUGUGAGAGUGGCUGAGUUUCAUUCUUAGCAUGGUCAGGGACUACACCUAAUUGCUCAGUAGGGAGUGGUCCAGUCCUUUGAGAUGUGUGGUACCCUUAACUCUGAUUGGCUCUUGUGGGUUUUGAGGGUUCUCAGCACUUUGUCAGACUGGACCCAACAUAAGUGAAAAGGCACAUUUGGCAAGUUUCACUAGUGAUUCAGGAACCUUCCUGUGAAUCUGUCCAGCUUGCACAAUCAAUCUAUGUCCUCAUAACAGGAUGAUGAAAGCCACAUAACCUUUUUUGCUGUGGAUCUCUCUCAUUUUUGGUAGAAGAUUUUGCUGCUAGCGACUUGGGAGUGGUGGAUCAUUUUAAGUUGGUGUCAUAGAUGACUACCAGUAGCCUUAGCCACAAAAAGGGACAUGUAGGUUGAAAAAGAACACAAUGUCCAGGGGAAGUAAGCAUCCUCUGAAAUAGGUCUUCUUUUAAUAAGUGUUACUUUACUUCCCUUAAUAUUAACCAGAUCGGCUGCCUAGGCUAUUGCCAGUGCUGUUAUGACUUGUACUGCUGUCUGCAUUUUCUGCUCUCCUUUUGGUUAAAUUGCGUUUUUAUUUACUUACAUCUUUUAUGUUCCUCUGGCUGCACCAGCUUCAGUCUGACAAAAGUUACCAUUUUUUUCUCUGAACUUGUGAGUUUCAAGGCCAGAGUUAUUUUCAAACUCUCAGAGUCACCAUUCUAUGUACUGAGAUUACUUUUCCAACUUUCUAAUGCGCAUCCCUCAGUAAUGCUGUGGCUCUGCUUUUCUUAGGACUUCCGUCACUCCUUCCUUUUCUCAUGUUUCAUGACAUUGACAUAUGAAAUAAAGACUCAGUCUUUAUUA